rnacentral:hammerhead_ribozyme from 1 species
GUCCAGCUGAUGAGUCUUAAAUAGGACGAAACGUGCGUCCUGGCU